ACGGGUGAGUAAUACAUCGGAACGUGCCCAAUCGUGGGGGAUAACGCAGCGAAAGCUGUGCUAAUACCGCAUACGAUCUACGGAUGAAAGCAGGGGAUCGCAAGACCUUGCGCGAAUGGAGCGGCCGAUGGCAGAUUAGGUAGUUGGUGAGGUAAAGGCUCACCAAGCCUUCGAUCUGUAGCUGGUCUGAGAGGACGACCAGCCACACUGGGACUGAGACACGGCCCAGACUCCUACGGGAGGCAGCAGUGGGGAAUUUUGGACAAUGGGCGAAAGCCUGAUCCAGCCAUGCCGCGUGCAGGAUGAAGGCCUUCGGGUUGUAAACUGCUUUUGUACGGAACGAAACGGCCUUUUCUAAUAAAGAGGGCUAAUGACGGUACCGUAAGAAUAAGCACCGGCUAACUACGUGCCAGCAGCCGCGGUAAUACGUAGGGUGCAAGCGUUAAUCGGAAUUACUGGGCGUAAAGCGUGCGCAGGCGGUUAUGUAAGACAGUUGUGAAAUCCCCGGGCUCAACCUGGGAACUGCAUCUGUGACUGCAUAGCUAGAGUACGGUAGAGGGGGAUGGAAUUCCGCGUGUAGCAGUG
rnacentral:rRNA from 15 species